rnacentral:rRNA from 1 species
GUAACGCGUGGGUAACCUGCCUCAUACAGGGGGAUAACAGUUAGAAAUGACUGCUAAUACCGCAUAAGCGCACAGUGCUGCAUGGCACAGUGUGAAAAACUCCGGUGGUAUGAGAUGGACCCGCGUCUGAUUAGCUAGUUGGUGGGGUAACGGCCUACCAAGGCGACGAUCAGUAGCCGGUCUGAGAGGGUGAACGGCCACAUUGGGACUGAGACACGGCCCAAACUCCUACGGGAGGCAGCAUG